GACGAACGCUGGCGGCGUGCUUAACACAUGCAAGUCGAACGGUAAGGCCCCUUCGGGGGUACACGAGUGGCGAACGGGUGUGUAACACGUGAGCAACCUGCCCUUGACUUUGGGAUACCAGCUGGAAACAGCUGCUAAUACCGGAUAUGACCUCUUCUCUCAUGGGUUGAGGUGGAAAGCUCCGGCGGGCAGGGAUGGGCUCGCGGCCUAUCAGCUUGUUGGUGAGGUAAUGGCUCACCAAGGCUGCGACGGGUAGCCGGCCUGAGAGGGCGACCGGCCACACUGGGACUGAGAUACGGCCCAGACUCCUACGGGAGGCAGCAGUGGGGAAUAUUGCACAAUGGGCGCAAGCCUGAUGCAGCAACGCCGCGUGCGGGAUGACGGCCUUCGGGUUGUAAACCGCUUUCAGUAGGGACGAAGCUAACGUGACGGUACCUACAGAAGAAGGACCGGCUAACUACGUG
rnacentral:rRNA from 1 species